rnacentral:tRNA from 2 species
GCUGUGAUGGCCGAGAGGUUAAGGCGUUGGACUUGAACUCUAGUGGGGUUUCCCCAUGCAGGUUCAAAUCCUGCUCACAGCG